GAUGAACGCUGGCGGCGUGCCUAAUACAUGCAAGUCGAGCGAACAGACGAGGAGCUUGCUCCUCUGACGUUAGCGGCGGACGGGUGAGUAACACGUGGAUAACCUACCUAUAAGACUGGGAUAACUUCGGGAAACCGGAGCUAAUACCGGAUAAUAUAUUGAACCGCAUGGUUCAAUAGUGAAAGACGGUUUUGCUGUCACUUAUUGAUGGAUCCGCGCCGCAUUAGCUAGUUGGUAAGGUAACGGCUUACCAAGGCAACGAUGCGUAGCUGACCUGAGAGGGUGAUCGGCCACACUGGAACUGAGACACGGUCCAGACUCCUACGGGAGGCAGCAGUAGGGAAUCUUCCGAAAUGGGCGAAAGCCUGACGGAGCAACGCCGCGUGAUUGAUGAAGGUCUUCGGAUCGUAAAACUCUGUUAUUAGGGAAGAACAAAUGUGUAAGUAACUAUGCACGUCUUGACGGUACCUAAUCAGAAAGCCACGGCUAACUACGUG
rnacentral:rRNA from 1 species